UAAAAGCGACCUCAGUUCGGAUUGAAGGCUGAAAUUCGCCUUCAUGAAGUCGGAAUUGCUAGUAAUGGCAGGUCAGCAUACUGCCGUGAAUACGUUCCCGGGCCUUGUACACACCGCCCGUCACACCAUGGGAGUCGGAAAUGCCCGAAGUCUGUGACCUAACCGUAAGGAAGGAGCAGCCGAAGGCAGGUCGGAUGACUGGGGUGAAGUCGUAACAAGGUAAC
rnacentral:rRNA from 1 species